CCAAGUAAUUUAGGGGAUGGGGAAGGAACUGGUCGAUGUAAUUAGUGGCAAUGUAGUAGAGGGAGUAGGCCAUGAGGAGAUCUUGAAUGAGGUAGCGGAACGAGGUGAAGAGGGAUUUUUGGAAGCAAUGAGCUGGAAUGGCUUUCUUUAGGUCUCCUAUGGUGAAGGGCGGUUUGUCGUGAGGGGCUCGGCGAAGGGCUUCGGCUUGUGUCUUUUUGUUGGCAUUAGGGGGAGCUGACAUACGCCCACCUGCACCCAUUUUUUGGAUAUAUUGGCCUGCCUGCAAUUAGGAAGAUGAAAAUGUACCAUAUUAAGCACAGAACAUAUGUCAUUGUACAUUUAUAUGUGCUAAGCUGGAUAAUAAGAUAGAGAUAUCAUAAGAAAUUCCAAAAAAAUAAUAACAGAGGUGCAUCUUUUACCUAUAGAAACCUAUAUGAAAUUUGUUUUAUUUUAACAUGUGCAACUUUAUAAAACUUUAGAGAAAAAAGUUGUAUCUAUACUAUUGUUUGUUGGAUUUUUUCUAAUAAUGAAUUAGACGAAGAAAAGACUUGAAGCUAACAUAUUUAGAUAAUGUUUGAUUAGUGUAUGAAAAUAAUACCUGAAAGAGAAGCUUUUGCUGGUCUCUUCCUCUGCCUUUGUUUCUGUGUUAUGUUGCUGCUGCUCUUACUAUGUUCCCCCACAACUUCACUAUUUAUAUAGAAAGUCUUUCUAAGCUAUAAGAUGACCCACUAGGUAAUGUUUAAAGCAGCUUGAAGCGCUCGCCCGCCAGCCCGCCACUCGGUAGCUGUCUGGACUUUGCACUUAAUUUCUUUCUUUUAGUAUGUUUCCUAGAUGUUUGUUGGUGUUUGGUACUAGUAGUAGUGUAAAAUUAGGGCGGGAGCCAUUUCUCAGUCCUAAAGGGCUGCUUAAAUUGCUAGAAUUUCAGUCCAUAUUGGCGACUACAUAUUUUAAAAAAAUUUCUUUUUCAGCUAUUUUAGUCAUGCAUUGGAGGCUCAACUAAUUAGCGAUAUGGGCAAUCUUCUCUUAUAUGUUGGCUGUUGCACUCAAUGAUUAGUCCAAUUUAUUUUUUAUUCACCCUCUACCAUAAUUUUUUUUUAUGCAAUUUCGAAUCAACAUUUAAAAUUGGCUAGUAGUAUUAGAUAUUUAAUUAAUUUUAUCUAACGUACUAAAGUUCUAACAGUAACAUAUCACUAUUUUAUAUUGAAAGUCAAGUUGUAACUAAGAAAAAUAAAACUAAUUAAUUAAUUUCAUCCUUGUUAAUUUGAAUACUCCAAAAUGAAGAAUACCACUUUAACAUAUUUGACACAUGGGCCUAAUCUCCCAACUGAAUAAUGUUCCAACAAUUUAUUUAAAAAUCUUAUUCUUCAGUCAGGCACUGGCGUGCUCUAGUCUAGUGAAUUGUCAGUCAACUUUACUGUACUAAUUUGACUGAAGACCCUAUUGACUUGGGAAAGUAUGUUUGUUAGCAUCAUUCACUUCAGGCUACCACAUAUAUAUAACUACAACCCAAAGUUGUGGAAUUCAGCAAAUUAAUUAAGCCAAACAUCUACCAAAUCCAGCAACAAACAAAGCUAGAGAGAACUAGCUAGCUAGCUUGUAUUUCCACUGAAAAAGCCAAAUACAUUUAGGCCAUUCCACAAUGGGUAAAGGUGGCCGUAUGCCCAUCAGCAACCAGGCGAAGCAAACCCAGAAAAAUGACAAUAACAACAAUAAUAUUAUCUGUCGAGUCCCUCAUGAAAAACCACCAUUUACUCUCGCCGACAUCAAAAAAGCCAUUCCACACCAUUGCUUCAACCGUUCCCUCCUCCGCUCUUCCUCCUACCUCCUUCUCGACCUCGCUGUUUGCUUCCUCCUCUACUACAUUUCCACAACCUACAUUCCCCUCCUCCCUAAACCCCUCUCCUAUCUCGCUUGGACCGCUUAUGUUUAUAUCCAAGGUUGUUUCCUGUUCGCCGUAUGGGUAGUCGCCCACGAAUGUGGCCACCAUGCCUUUAGCAACUACCACUUGCUAAAUGACACCCUUGGCUUCAUUCUCCAUUCCCUUCUCCUCGUCCCUUAUUUCUCUUGGAAAAUUAGCCAUCGUCGCCACCACGCCAACACCAAUUCUCUUGACCGAGAUGAAAACCAUGUCCCAAGAUUCAAGGACACGAUAAGAUCAUAUUACCAUCACUUCAACAACCCGCUUGGCCGAGCAUUCAUCAUUGCAUUCACGCUAACUUUAGGAUGGCCUUUGUAUUUGAUUGUAAACAUAGCGGGAAGAUCUUAUGACCGUCUUGCAUCCCAUUUUGACCCAUAUAGUCCGAUUUAUUCCGACCGUGAGCGGGCUCAAAUCUUGUUGUCAGAUAUUGGUUUUCUUGCCGCAGUUUAUGGGCUCUAUCGGAUUGCACUAGUAAAAGGACUUUCAUGGGUAAUGCUAGUAUACGGAGCUCCGUUACAUGUGGUAAAUGGGUUUCUUGUGAUGAUAACUCUACUGCAUCACACUCAUCUAUCGUUGCCUCACUACGAUUCGUCUGAGUGGGAUUGGUUAAGGGGAGCUCUAGCCACUGUGGACAGAGAUUAUGGAAUUCUAAACAAAGUGUUCCAUCACAUAGCGGAUACUCAUGUGCUCCACCAUUUGAUCUCUAGCAUUCCUCAUUAUCAUGCCCAAGAGGCGACUGAGGCGAUAAAGCCGGUAUUGGGGGAUUAUUACCAUUAUGAUGGAACUCCAUUCUACAAGGCAAUGUGGAGAGAGGCAAAGGAAUGUCUGUAUGUUGAGGCAGAGGAAGGAGAGAAGAGCAAAGGUGUUUACUGGUACAAGAACAAGCUUUGAGUUCAAUCCAAUCCAUAUAAAUGAUUAAAUGUUCUCUUUAGAACUAAAAGGGUACGUAGAGACCUUGUAAUGGAGAAAUCUUACCUUUCACUACAUAUAUAUGUUGGAAUGAUUCAACAACAAGAAGUAUUUUCAGAGGCAAGAAGUAUUUGCAUUUGAGGGUAUAUUGGUAUAAUUAAUGAUCUUACAAAAUAUGAGCUACACUAGAAUACCACUGGUGCGCCGAGGCAAAAAUCUCCAAGUUUCGAAUGUUAUGGAGUCAUUUAUUUUUUCUAUUUUUAUUUAUUUAAAAUAAUCACUGUAGAAAUUCAUAAAAUUACCUUUAAUUUAAUUAUUUUAAUAGCACGAGCUUCUUUCUAUUGAGCUAUUUAAGGUGAAAAAUUCUAUGACCAUAUAAAACUGUUGUUAAUUAAGUGUCAAAAGGGCAACGAAGUAGAUUAAAUGAACGAAUAUGUCUUUAAAUAUUAGCUGAGUUAUUUUAAAUAUUAUGAAAUUAAAUAACAUAAAUAAAUAUCUUAUAAUCCUUAUUAUACUCUCUGUUACAAAAAUAAUAAAAAUAAUAUAAAAAUAAAAUAGUAAUCUAAAUAUAAAACUUAAGAUUUUUUUUUUUUUUUUUAUAAAAUCAGUAGUUACAUAAAAUAAAACUUAUGUUAUAAUAAACUCAGUAAUUAAUAACAUGAAAUAAACAUUAAUAGGACUCGAUCGAUCCUAACCUUAAUGGUUGGACUUGAUUUUUAAAACUUCAUAAGGUUAGCGUGGGGUGUGGGAUGUAGACAACCAAAUUUUAAGUUCCACUACAAAAAAUAGUGAGAGAUUAGUUGGACAGAUAUUUCUGUGUAGUGCUGUAAAUUAUCGGAAAAUAGGAUAUUAUUAGUAUUUGUUUAAAGCGGAUAUUAUUCGUAUUCAAUUUAAACGGAUAUUAUUCACAUUCGAUUAGAUAUAUUCAUAAAUAAACGGAUACAAAUACGAAUUUUAUAUCUGUUUAACAUCCGUCCACCGACAGAUAUGCGGUUUAUAAUUCUUAGCAAAAAAAUAGGUUUUAUUAUAAAAUGAUAAUAUUUUUUUAAUAUCUUUCAUAAAUAUAUUUUAUUAAAUAGAGUGAUUGAUUUUUAUUUCUUUUGAAUUUUAUAAUUUAAUCAUAAGGUUGAUAAUUGUGUUAUGUUAUAUUAAUAUCAUAAUAGUAAUUUUUAAAAUUUUUAAAUAUUUAUUUACUAUUUAAUAUACUAUAUAUAAUUAGAACAAUGACAAACUAUUGGCUAAGUUAAUUAGGACGUUUUUGGUGAGUCUGGAGUUGACUCAAUUAAUAAUUAUUUUUUAUUUUUAAUACACUAUAAUAGUUAGCUCUAAUUUCAUUGCUCUGAGUUAUGAUUAAGUUCAAACACACAUUAUCCUAAUUAUCAUUAUUAAAGAUAUAUUCUUAAUUAAAUUUUUAAUACAUAGAGUAUAAUUUUUAUUUAUAAUAUAUUCGAAAUAUUUAUAGACUCCUACAUUAAUUAAAUAUUGAUUCAUUAUAUACUUAUUUUGUAUUAAAAUUAUAUUUUUAAUUAUAAUAUAAAAUAAAAUAUUCCUCUUUUUUUGGUAAUGAUAAUAUAAAAUAUGUCACUUGCAAUUAAUAUUAGUUGGUAAAUUAAAGGUACACGAAUAAUUUCAAUUCUCUAUUUUACAUUUAUUAUUAGAUAUCUAUUAAGUAGAAGAUAUACUUUGUAAUAAAAAAAUAUGCAUCUUGUUUUGGUAAUGAUAAUAUAAUAUAUGCCACUUCAAUUAAUUCUACUUGCAAUUAAUAUUGGAAACUGAUAAAUCCACAACAGAAAAUAAUAUUUUCACAUCAAAACUAUCGUUAUACAUCCUAUAGUGACGGUUUUCACCGUCGCUAUACAUUUAUAGCGACACUUUUCAUGUGAAAAUAUAAAUGCACUUUAUGUGACAUAAUAUAUAAAUAAGAGUUCUUCUAGGUGGACAUGGAAAUUGGACAUGAUUGUAUUUUAAUUUUACUUAUUUGUAUUUUUACCCACCAUUAGGGGUCAAAAUACAAAUAAGUGAAAUUGAAAUACACUCAUGUCUAAUUUUCAUGUCUAAUUUUCAUAUCCAGAUAGAAUUUUUGUAUACAUAAAUAAAUAUAAUUUAUGUUUUCCUACUUAAAAAAAUUAUUUCAAUUCUGAAUUUUACCAUUUUACAUUUAUUAGAUAUAAAAAUCAUUAAUUAACUCUCCUCCCUCAAGGCUUCUGGCCUGCUAAUCCUUAACAUAUAUAUAUAUAUAUAUAUAUAUAUAUAUAUCUUAGUUAGAGAAUUUGGUUACUAUUAAUCUAAUAUUACGCACCUACCAAGGCAGCCAGCCUCUGGGCUCUGGUCACACAACCCUACAAACAUUAAUGGUGUGUUUGUUUGAUUGUAUGCAGUUUAUAUUCGUUACUCAAGUAUGCCGAAACAGGAGCAUUAAUUCAAUAGAGAAACAAAAGGUAUAUAUUAACUGAGAUAAUGAAAACUAUAUAAAUUAAAAUUAGAAAGAUAUUCUUGAACAACAGUACAAACUAAUAAAGACGUUGUUUUUCAACACUUUUUAUCUUACUACAGUGCAACAUUAAUAAUUGAAUGAACCAAUCUAAUUAAACUGCUAGAAUUAAGGAAAAUUCUUUAUCAAGUACGUAGUCACAUCAGAAUUCAUUUCUGUACCAGUACACUCCUCUCGUCUCACCUUCAUCUUUCUCAACGUAGAUGCAUUCCUUCAUUUCUCUAUACAUGGCCUUCACAAUUGGAGUUCCAUCAUAUUGAUAAUAAUCACCCAAUAUCGGCUUCAUUGCCUCCGUUGCUUCGAGUCCGUGAUAAUGAGGGAUCAUUGAGAAUAUAUGGUGACAAACAUGAGCAUUGCACACAUUAUGGAACACCUUGUUCAAAAUCCCGUAAUCUCUAUCAACUGUGCAUAGAGCUCCCCUCAACCAAUCCCACUCCGUCGAAUCAUAGUAAGGCAAAGAAGGAUGAGUGUGAUUAAGUAUAGUAAUCAACACGAACCAUCCGUUAACAACAAGCAACGGACCUCCAUACACACAGAAAACCCAAACAAAUCCUUUGAGUAACACCACCCGAUAUAGGCCAUAAAUCACAGCAAGAAUAGCGAUAUCAGAAAUAACAAUCUCUUUGCGCUCCCGGUCAGAGUAAAGCGGACUAUGGGGAUCAUAAUGGGAAGUCCACCUUCCGUACUUGUGCCCAGAUACAUUGAACAUCAAGUAUAAAGGAAAACCAAUAAGUAGGGUGGUGAGCCACACGAGAACACGACCCGGUGGAUUGUUGAGCAUUUUGUAGUAGUUUCGGAUAUUGGACUUGAAUCUCGGGACGUAGACCUCGUCAUUGUCAAGGGAUUGGGUGUUGGCGUGGUGACGACGGUGACUAAUUUUCCAAGAGAAAUAAGGGACCAUUAGAGAGGAAUGGACUAUUAGGCCCACGAGGUCGUCGACCCAUUGGUAGUCACUAAAGGCGUGGUGGUCGCAUUCGUGGCCUAUGACCCAAGCUCCGGUUAGUACACAACCUUGGACGGCAAUGUAAGCGGCCCAGCCUAAGUAGUUGAGGGGAUGGGGAAGGUAUUGGUCGAUGUAAUUGGUGGCAAUGUAAUAGAGGGAGUAGGCCAUGAGGAGAUCUUGAAUGAGGUAGCGGAAUGAGGUGACGAGAGAUUUUUGGAAGCAAUGGGCUGGAAUGGCUUUUUUAAGGUCUCCUAUGGUGAAGGGAGGUUUGUCGUGAGGGGCUCGGCGAAGGGCUUCGGCUU
rnacentral:lncRNA from 1 species